rnacentral:rRNA from 1 species
CAAUAGCGUAUAUUAAAGUUGUUGCAGUUAGAACGCUCGUAGUCGGAUUUCGGGGCGGGCCGACCGGUCUGCCGAUGGGUACGCACUGGUCGGCGCGUCCUUCCUUCCGGAGACCGCCUCUGUUCUUAACUGGAUGGGUGCGGGAGACGGAUCGUUUACUUUGAAAAAAUCAGAGUGUUUCAAGCAGGCAGCUCGCUCUUGCAUGGAUUAGCAUGGGAUAAUGAAAUAGGACUUUGGUGCUAUUUUGUUGGUUUCGAACACCGAAGUAAUGAUUAAAAGGGACAGUCAGGGGCACUCGUAUUCCGCCGAGAGAGGUGAAAUUCUCAGACCAGCGGAAGACGAACCACUGCGAAAGCAUUUGCCAGGGAUGUUUUCACUGA